rnacentral:snRNA from 1 species
AUACCUUUCUCGGCCUUUUGGCUAAGAUCAAGUGUAGUAUCUGUUCUUAUCAGUUUAAUAUCUGAUAUGUGGGCCAUUGGUCCACACGAUAUUAACUCAAUUUUUUAAGGGGAAGGGCCCAUCAAGGUAGCUUGCUACCCUGGACUCUCAAGCGUCGCCCAUGCGUUGCACUACUGCACGGGCCUGGCGCACCCCAC